GACAGAGGGGGGCAAGCGUUGCUCGGAAUUACUGGGCGUAAAGGGCGCGUAGGCGGGAUGGCAAGUCGGUCGUGAAAUCCCUCGGCUCAACUGAGGAUCGUCGAUCGAUACUGCCGUUCUUGAGGAUUGCAGAGGAGACUGGAAUUCCUGGUGUAGCGGUGAAAUGCGCAGAUAUCAGGAGGAACACCAAUGGCGAAGGCAGCACUCUGGGACGUGACUGGACGCUGAAGACGCGAAAGCGUGGGGAGCAAACAGG
rnacentral:rRNA from 1 species